rnacentral:autocatalytically_spliced_intron from 1 species
AGAUCCAGAUUUUUGGAGAUUUUACAUAUCCGCAAGUGGCUAUAGUAAAUUUGCAAAACUGAUAGGAUCUUCACAUCCUGAUAAGUGGCCAUAUUUAAGGAUGAAGAUAUAGUCCAAGCCUCACGAAAGUCGAGG